GAAAUGCGAUAAGUAAUGUGAAUUGCAGAAUUCAGUGAAUCAUCGAAUCUUUGAACGCACCUUGUGCUCCUUGGUAUUCCUUGGAGCAUGCCUGUUUGAGUAUCAUGAAAUCUUCAAAGUAAAUCUUUUGUUAACUCAAUUGGUUUCUACUUUGGUAUUGGAGGUCUUUGCAGCUUCACACUUGCUCCUCUUUGUUCAUUAGCUGGAUCUCAGUGUUAUGCUUGGUUCCACUCGGCGUGAUAAGUUAUCUAUCGCUGAGGACACUGUAAAAGGUGGCCAAGGUAAAUGCAGAUGAACCGCUUCUAAUAGUCCAUUGACUUGGACAAUACUUUUAUGAUCUGAUCUCAAAUCAGGUAGGACUACCCGCUGAACUUAAGC
rnacentral:misc_RNA from 1 species